rnacentral:tRNA from 1 species
GGUGGUUUAGCUCAGUGGCGUAAGCACCUGCCUUGCAAGCAGGCAGUUGUGAGUUCGAUCCCGGGCACCG